rnacentral:rRNA from 1 species
GAUGAACGCUGGCGGCGUGCCUAAUACAUGCAAGUCGAGCGAACGGACGAGAAGCUUGCUUCUCUGAUGUUAGCGGCGGACGGGUGAGUAACACGUGGAUAACCUACCUAUAAGGCUGGGAUAACUUCGGGAGACCGGAGCUAAUACCGGAUAAUAUUUUGAACCGCAUGGUUCAAAAGUGAAAGACGGUCUUGCUGUCACUUAUAGAUGGAUCCGCGCUGCAUUAGCUAGUUGGUAAGGUAACGGCUUACCAAGGCAACGAUGCAUAGCCGACCUGAGAGGGUGAUCGGCCACACUGGAACUGAGACACGGUCCAGACUCCUACGGGAGGCAGCAGUAGGGAAUCUUCCGCAAUGGGCGAAAGCCUGACGGAGCAACGCCGCGUGAGUGAUGAAGGUCUUCGGAUCGUAAAACUCUGUUAUUAGGGAAGAACAUAUGUGUAAGUAACUGUGCACAUCUUGACGGUACCUAAUCAGAAAGCCACGGCUAACUACGUGCCAGCAGCCGCGGUAAUACGUAGGUGGCAAGCGUUAUCCGGAAUUAUGGGCGUAAAGCGCGCGUAGGCGGUUUUUUAAGUCUGAUGUGAAAGCCCACGGCUCACCCUUGGAGGGUCAUUGGAAACUGGAAAACUUGAGUGCAGAAGAGGAAAGUGGAAUUCCAUGUGUAGCGGUGAAAUGCGCAGAGAUAUGGAGGAACACCAGUGGCGAAGGCGACUUUCUGGUCUGUAACUGACGCUGAUGUGCGAAAGCGUGGGGAUCAAACAGGAUUAGAUACCCUGGUAGUCCACGCCGUAAACGAUGAGUGCUAAGUGUUAGGGGGUUUCCGCCCCUUAGUGCUGCAGCUAACGCAUUAAGCACUCCGCCUGGGGAGUACGACCGCAAGGUUGAAACUCAAAGGAAUUGACGGGGACCUGCACAAGCGGUGGAGCAUGUGGUUUAAUUCGAAGCAACGCGAAGAACCUUACCAAAUCUUGACAUCCUUUGACAACUCUAGAGAUAGAGCCUUCCCCUUCGGGGGACAAAGUGACAGGUGGUGCAUGGUUGUCGUCAGCUCGUGUCGUGAGAUGUUGGGUUAAGUCCCGCAACGAGCGCAACCCUUAAGCUUAGUUGCCAUCAUUAAGUUGGGCACUCUAAGUUGACUGCCGGUGACAAACCGGAGGAAGGUGGGGAUGACGUCAAAUCAUCAUGCCCCUUAUGAUUUGGGCUACACACGUGCUACAAUGGACAAUACAAAGGGCAGCGAAACCGCGAGGUCAAGCAAAUCCCAUAAAGUUGUUCUCAGUUCGGAUUGUAGUCUGCAACUCGACUACAUGAAGCUGGAAUCGCUAGUAAUCGUAGAUCAGCAUGCUACGGUGAAUACGUUCCCGGGUCU